GGGGAAUAUUGGACAAUGGGCGCAAGCCUGAUCCAGCAAUACCGCGUGUGUGAAGAAGGCCUUCGGGUUGUAAAGCACUUUUAUAUGGGAAGAAGUGUGGUGUGUUAAUAGCGCAUUGCAUUGACGGUACCAUAGGAAUAAGCACCGGCUAACUCCGUGCCAGCAG
rnacentral:rRNA from 1 species